CAAUUUCCAGACCCCAAUCAACUGCCUCAGCUUCUGCAGAUUUCUACAUUGCCAUUAAAACUGGAUUUCUUUACAGCAGCAGCUACAAAUUCUCCCUUAUGAUUUCUGAUGGCAAUUCCCAGGCCAACAUAUUGAUCUUUCCAACUUGGCUGAGAAAAAAAGCUAACAUAUAAAAAUCAUUUUCUUUUUUUAAUAACAGAAAUUCAUGUCAAAAUGGUAUUCAUGGAGUGACAGAACAAACUGAACAUGUGUAUCGGCAACAAAACAGCAAUCCACAUUUAAAAAAAAAAUUAAUUCACAUUUUAAAAAAUAAUUACCCAUCGAAUAUAAUUCACGGUAGCAGUUUGCCAACAUCCAAUUUAACUGGACAAUUUUCUUAUACUAACACCAAGUUAAUCAAUCUCAUGCCAACAAAAUCAUAUUUACCAAAUAGAAAAUAAUUAUUAAAUAUUAGAAAGAAGGGGAAUGAUACAAAAAAUUACUAGCAAACACAAAGAUUCUCAACAUUCACCAUUUUCCCAAGCAAAUUAAAACCCAAUGGAUAGCAAAUUCGAUUGUAUGCAAGCCUUAAAAAAGAAAAAUAUCAGCAACUCACAUAACAAAGAUGGAGCCGAGAGGGCAAAAGCAGUCGAGGUAGUUGGAUGGAGCAGCAGUGGUUGCGGCAAGAUGGCGCACCA
rnacentral:lncRNA from 1 species